rnacentral:rRNA from 1 species
UACGUAGGUGACCAGCGUUGUCCGGAUUUACUGGGCGUAAAGAGCGCGCAGGCGGUCGUUCAAGUCGAGUGUGAAAGCCCCCGGCUCAACUGGGGAGGGUCACUCGAUACUGAUCGACUUGAAGGCAGGAGAGGGAAGCGGAAUUCCCGGUGUAGUGGUGAAAUGCGUAGAUAUCGGGAGGAACACCAGUGGCGAAGGCGGCUUCCUGGCCUGUUCUUGACGCUGAGGCGCGAAAGCUAGGGGAGCAAACAGGG